GGGCCCGCACAAGCGGUGGAGCAUGUGGUUUAAUUCGAUGCAACGCGAAAAACCUUACCUACCCUUGACAUCCACGGAAUCUUCUAGAGAUAGAAGAGUGCCUUCGGGAACCGUGUGACAGGUGCUGCAUGGCUGUCGUCAGCUCGUGUCGUGAGAUGUUGGGUUAAGUCCCGUAACGAGCGCAACCCCUAUCCUUAGUUACCAGCGAGUCAUGUCGGGGACUCUAGGGAGACUGCCGGUGAUAAACCGGAGGAAGGCGGGGAUGAGGUCAAGUCAUCAUGGCCCUUAUGGGUAGGGCUACACACGUGCUACAAUGGUUGGUACAGAGGGAGGCGAAGCCGCGAGGUGGAGCAAAGCCUAGAAAGUUCUUCGUAGUCCGGAUUGGAGUCUGCAACUCGACUCCAUG
rnacentral:rRNA from 1 species